UUUUGACAUGCGGAGAGUAUUCCAACAACAUGCAGUUUUCUGCCUGCAGUCUGAAGGAGUGCAGCUGUUCAGCUUCAUCUCCUACUGCUGGACCUCUGACACCCCUCUGAGUCUGCGUUUGACACCCUUCUUGAGUUUGCUUGAAGGCAGUUUCUAGUGGCGACUUGUCAGCUGCAGCAGGGUGCUAAAUGGAGAAAUGUGACAGCUCCUUGCCUAGAUAUGAGCUUAACAGAGCAGUGUGAGAUCCAGCAACCUUUAUCAACAAUGACGCUAGCCAGCAGAAAGGGACAAAAGGCUCCCAAAGCAAACCGUGGUCCUGUGAGAGAGCAGACAAAACCCAACUCAUAUAAGGAGAGCACCAUUCCCAGCAGCAGCUAGUUUCUUGUAUAGUAUCUCAGUGCAGAGGCCCUUGCAAGGCUUUAUUCUGAAUUAAUGUGCAUCUUAUCACUUUUCUGAAAUAACCUGGUUAUCCUGAUGCCUGCCUGCAAUGUCAUGUACAGCUGUGGACAUGUACUGACUUUAGCUGUGCAAAGAUAAAAAAAGAAUCUUUUUUUGUACAGCAGCCAUAUAUUUUAAAAAUGUAAGCUGUUUCAAAAUGCUUUUAAAUAAAGUAAAAUCCAAAGGUGGUAAUUCUUAUUGUUUUAAGGUAUGAACUUUGUUCAGAAAGAUGCAACUGUUU